UACGUAGGGUGCAAGCGUUGUCCGGAAUUAUUGGGCGUAAAGAGCUCGUAGGCGGUCUGUCGCGUCGAUCGUGAAAACUUGGGGCUUAACCCUGAGCUUGCGGUCGAUACGGGCAUGACUGGAGUUCGGCAGGGGAGACUGGAAUUCCUGGUGUAGCGGUGAAAUGCGCAGAUAUCAGGAGGAACACCGGUGGCGAAGGCGGCCGUCUGGACAGUGACUGACGCUGAGACGCGAAAGCGUGGGGAGCAAACAGG
rnacentral:rRNA from 1 species